UACGUAGGGGGCAAGCGUUGUCCGGAAUUAUUGGGCGUAAAGAGCGUGUAGGCGGCCAGAUAAGUCCGCUGUGAAAUCUCGAGGCUCAACUUCGAGCUGUCGGUGGAAACUAUCUGGCUAGAGUCCGGAAGAGGAGAAUGGAAUUCCUGGUGUAGCGGUGAAAUGCGCAGAUAUCAGGAAGAACACCCGUGGCGAAGGCGGUUCUCUGGGACGGUACUGACGCUGAGACGCGAAGGCGUGGGGAGCGAAUAGG
rnacentral:rRNA from 1 species